GUGCUCACUUUGGUAGCACAUAUACUAAAAUUGGAACGAUACAAAAAAGAUUAGCAUGGUCCCUGUGCAAGGAUGACAUGCAAAUUCAUGAAAUUUCUAACAAAUAA
rnacentral:snRNA from 1 species